UGGGGAAUUUUGGACAAUGGGGGCAACCCUGAUCCAGCAAUGCCGCGUGAAGGAUGAAGUAUUUCGGUAUGUAAACUUCGUAAGAAUAGGAAGAAUAAAUGACGGUACUAUUUGUAAGGUCCGGCUAACUACGUGCCAGCAGCCGCGGUAAUACGUAGGGACCAAGCGUUGUUCGGAUUUACUGGGCGUAAAGGGCGCGUAGGCGGCGUGGUAAGUCAUCUGUGAAAUUUCCGAGCUUAACUCGGAACGGUCAGAUGAUACUGCUGUGCUAGAGUACAGAAGGGGCAAUCGGAAUUCUUGGUGUAGCGGUGAAAUGCGUAGAUAUAGGAAGGAACACCAGUGGCGAAGGCGACCACCUGGACUGAUACUGACACUGAGGUGCGAAAGCGUGGGGAGCAAACAGGAUUAGAUACCCCCGUAGUCCCUGAGCGGGCUGGCAAGGCGCAU
rnacentral:rRNA from 1 species